rnacentral:rRNA from 1 species
CGCGUAGGCGGCUUGACAAGUCCAAGGUGAAAUCCCUCGGCUCAACCGAGGAACUGCCUUGGAAACUGUCUGGCUCGAGGCCGGGAGAGGGUAGUGGAAUUCCCAGUGUAGCGGUGAAAUGCGUAGAUAUUGGGAGGAACACCGGUGGCGAAGGCGGCUACCUGGACCGGAUCUGACGCUGAUGCGCGAAAGCGUGGGGAGCAAACAGGAUUAGAUACCCUGGUAGUCCACGCUGUAAACGAUGGGUGCUCGGUGUCGCGGGUAUCGACCCCUGCGGUGCCUUAGCUAACGCGUUAAGCACCCCGCCUGGGGAGUACGGUCGCAAGGCUGAA